AUGACUGCUUCCGAAGCAUCUCUACAAGUGGCUGAGACACAGAGAGAGGAAGGCCACACAAGAGUCAUCUAUCUUGGCUGCUUCAAGGUCUCACCAGCAUUUCCCAGAGGAGUAACCGCCUGCCUGCAGUCCUGCCACAACUUCAUAGGAAUAAUCGCCUCGCCGGCCAGGCUCUGGGGCUGCUGCUGCCUCUGCAACGCCGGAGCUGCUGCUGCUCGGGCGUCCACGUGCUGGUCACCGUGGCUUCAGGAGUUUCUUCUGAACCUUCCAAUGGCGGAGGUGCUGGCCACCAUGGCGAUCCGGCCACUGGUGUCCAUGCUGAUGAACAAGUCGUCCAACUACCUCCUGGACAAGUACAAGGUAAUGGAUGGAAUGGAGGAGCAGCACAAGAUUCUCAAACGCAAACUUGCAGCCAUUCUCGACGUCAUUGCCGACGCCGAGGAGCAAGCGACAGCCCACAGGGAAGGGGUGAAAGCUUGGCUCCAGGAGCUCAAGACAGUGGCUUAUCAAGCAAAUGAAGUCUUCGACGAAUUCAAGUACGAAGCGCUCCGUCGUGAAGCCAAGAAGAACGGGCACUACAUCAAGCUUGGCUUGGAUGUAGUUAAACUCUUGCGCACUCACAACCGUAUUGUCUUCCGUCACAGAAUGGGUACCAAGCUUUGCCAGAUUUUGCAGGCCGUUGAGGUCCUCAUCACAGAGAUGCACGCCUUUAGGUUCAAGUACCGACCACAGCCACCGGUUUUUAAGAAGUGGAGGCAGACAGAUUAUGUCAUCAUCGACCCACGAGAAAUUCUUAGCAGAUCCAGACAUGGAGAUAAGAAAUAUGUUGUUGAUAUACUACUUGGUAAAGCUAGCAGUUCAGAUCUCACAGUUGUUCCCAUCGUUGGAAUGGGGGGCCUUGGCAAGACCACACUAGCACAGCUCAUAUACAAUGAACCUGAAGUUCAGAAGCAUUUCCAGUUGCUGCUCUGGGUAUGUGUAUCUGAUACAUUUGAUGUGAACUCCCUAGCUAGGAGUAUAGUUGAGGCAUCUCCCAAGAAGAAUCAUGAUACAGAGAAACCACCACUGGAUAGACUUCAAAUAUUGGUCAGUGGGCAGAGGUAUCUCCUUGUAUUGGAUGAUAUCUGGAACAACAAAGAGUUCCGUAAGUGGGAAAUGUUGAAGGUCUGUCUUCAGCAUGGUGGCAUGGGUAGUGCGGUGCUGACAACAACUCGCGAUAAACGAGUUGCUGAAAUUAUGGGUGCAGUAGCCUACAAUCUCAACGUUUUGGAGGAUUGCUUCAUAAAGGAAAUUAUUGAGGCUAGAGCAUUCGGUUCAGAGAAAGAAAAGCCAGCUGAACUAGUCAAGAUGGUUGAUGAGAUUGUGAAGAGAUGUUCUGGCUCUCCAUUAGCUGCAACGGCACUGGGCUCUGUACUUAGUACCAAGACCAGUGUGAAUGAAUGGAAGGAUGUAUUAUCCAGAAGUAGCAUUUGCACUGAUGAAACUGGAAUUUUGCCAAUACUGAAGCUUAGCUACAAUGACUUGCCAUCACACAUGAAGCAGUGCUUUGCUUUUUGUGCUGUAUUUCCAAAAGAUUACAAGAUUGAUGUGGAGAUGCUGAUCCAACUAUGGAUCGCAAAUGGCUUUAUCCCAGAGCAGAAGGAAGCUAGUCUUGAAACCACUGGAAAACAUAUUUUUGAUGAGCUUGCCUCAAGGUCAUUCUUUCUGGACAUAGAGGAAAGUAAAGAUGUUAUGUCGUUUGAUUUUGUACCUACAUAUUAUUCCAGAAUGACAUGUAAAAUCCAUGAUCUUAUGCAUGAUAUUGCAAUGUCUGUUAUGGAAAAGGAUUGUGUUGUUGCAACUAAGAAACCUAGUAAAAUUGAGUGGCUUCCAGAUACUGCUCGGCAUUUGUUCCUGUCAUGUCAAGAAACAGUAGGUAUUUUGAAUGAUUUUAUGGAGAAAAGAUCCCCUGCUAUCCAAACACUGCUAUGUGAUGGUUUUGUCCACAGCUCUUUGCAUCACCUAUCAAAAUACCGCUCGUUGCAUGCCUUGAAGCUCUGUAUAUAUACAGAGUCAUUUCCAUUGAAACCAAAGUAUCUGCAUCACCUGAGGUACCUUGAUCUCUCAUACAGUAAUAUGAAAGCACUUCCCGAAGAUAUUAGUAUUCUGUAUAACUUGCAAACAUUGGACCUUUCCAACUGUGGUAAUCUUGAUCGACUUCCGAGGCAAAUGAAGUAUAUGACUUCCCUCCGUCAUCUCUACACUCAUGGAUGUCGGGAGUUGAAGAGCAUGCCUCCAGAACUCGGAGAACUCACUGACCUGCGGACACUUACAUGUUUCGUAGCAGCAGUUACGAGCCCCGAUUGUAGUGAUGUUGCACAGCUGCAGGGUUUAAAUCUUGGUGGUCAUCUAGAACUACGUCAGUUAGAGAACGUUGAAAAAGAUGAAGCAGAAGUGGCAAAUCUCGGAAAAAAGAAGGAUCUUAGAGAAUUGACAUUAAGAUGGAGUUUUGUUUGUGAUAGCAAGGUGCUUGACAAUUUUGAGCCUCAUGAUGGACUGCUAAUUCUCAGAAUAUAUUCCUAUGGUGGAGAGUGCAUGGGUAUGUUGCAAAACAUGGUUGAGAUCCAUCUUUCUCAUUGUGAAAGAUUGCAAUUUUUGUUCAGAUGUGGCACAUCCUUCACUUUUCCAAAUCUGAAGGUGCUUACGCUAGAGCAUCUGUUGGAUUUUGAGAGAUGGUGGGAAAUAAAUGAGAGGCAAGAAGAACGGACAAUAUUUCCUCUGCUUGAGAAGUUAUUUAUUCGGCAUUGUGGAAAGUUGAUAGCAUUACCUGAAGCACCAUUGCUUGAAGAACAAUGUCGUGGAGGUAAUAUAUGGGUAUGCACUCCGUCCUCUCUGCUUAAGAACUUGUUUAUUAGGUAUUGUGGAAAGGUGGUAGCAUUACGUGAAGCACCGUUGGUUGAAGAAUCAUGUAGUGGAGGUUAUAGAUUGGUACGAUCAGCAUUUCCUUCUCUAAAGGUACUCGAAUUGAAAUGCUUGGAGAGUUUUCAGAGAUGGGAUGCUGUUGUUGUAGGAGAACCGAUAUUGUUUCCUCGUCUUGAGAAACUAUCAGCUCAGAAAUGCCCUAAGCUAGUAGAUUUACCUGAAGCACCAAAUCUCAGUGUAUUAGAAGUUGAGGAUGUCAACCAAGAGAUAUUCCAUUGUGUAGACAGGUAUUUACCUUUACUGACCAAACUGAUAAUGAAGCUAGAAUACAUAGAAACAACGCCAGAGGCUGAGUGCACUCUGAUUGUACCAUUGGACAACAAGAACAAAUGGAACCAGAAAUCCCCUCUUACAGUUAUGCAGUUAAGGUGCUGCAACUCAUUCUUUGGAACAGGUGCACCAGAGCCGUGUGACUAUUUUGAACACCUUGAAGAGUUAGAAAUUGAUAAAUGUGAUGCACUCGCCCACUGGCCAGAGAAAGUGUUUCAAAGCUUGGUAACCUUGAGGAGAUUAACGAUUAGAAGCUGCAAAAAUCUAACUGGAUACUCACAAGCUCCUCUUGAAUCGUCAGCAUCUGAAAGGAGUCAGCACCUGCCAGCUUUGGAGUCUCUUGAGUUAAAAGAGUGUGAAAGUUUGGUAGAGAUGUUCAACGUCCCAACAUCUCUUAAGAGGAUACAAAUUCAGUCGUGCCCUAAGCUUGAAUUCAUCUGUGGCAAGCAGCAAGGCAUGUCAGAGUUAGUCCAAGGAUCUUCUUGCAGUGAGGCAAUUGUGCCCACUGCUGUAUCAGAGUUGUCAUCCUCACCCAUGAAUCAGUUUUGUCCAUGCCUAGAAUAUCUGUGGUUAUUUAGUUGUGGAAGUUUACCAUCUGUUCUAAAUCUUCCUCCGUCCUUAGAGACCAUAUAUAUUGGUUGUUGUAGUAGUAUUCAAGUCCUAUCAUGUCGCUUGGAUGGGCUCCAGAAACCACAAGUCACUACUUCCAUAAAUUCUCCAGAGCUAUCAACAGUAGCAGCAGCAGGAGAGCAUUCACUUCCUCCUCAUCUCAAAUAUCUGAAUAUAUGGUCCUGUGAUAGCAUGUUGGGGGGGAUCCUCCGUCUGCCCACAUCCCUUGAGAUGCUUUACAUUAUGGACAAUAGUCGGUUGACGUCGCUGGAGUCGCUGUCAGCAGAGCACCCCCCAUCGUUGGAAACCUUUUCACUUUCUCACUGUAUUACCCUGGCAUCCCUGCCGAAUGAGCCGCAAACAUACGGGUCUCUCAAAGAGCUUUCAAUACAUGGCUGUCCAGCUAUAAAGAACCUCCCUAGAUGCCUGCAGCAACGACUGGACAGCCUCGACUACAGAUGGCUAGAUGCCCGUUAUGAAGUAAUGGCGUUUAAACCGAAGACAUGGAAGGAGAUACCAAGAUUAUUCCGUGAGCAGAGGAAGGCCACUCAAAGAAUCAGGCAACGCCAGCAAAACAUGCAGGAGUAA
rnacentral:rRNA from 1 species